GCUGCAUGGCUGUCGUCAGCUCGUGUCGUGAGAUGUUGGGUUAAGUCCCGCAACGAGCGCAACCCUUGCCUUUAGUUGCCAGCAGUUCGGCUGGGCACUCUAAAGGGACUGCCGGUGUUAAACCGGAGGAAGGUGGGGAGUGACGUCAAGUCCUCAUGGCCUUUAUGACCAGGGCUACACACGUACUACAAUGGCCGAUACAAAGGGCAGCGACACUGCGAGGUGAAGCCAAUCCCGUAAAAUCGGUCUCAGUCCGGAUUGGAGUCUGCAACUCGACUCCAUGAAGUUGGAAUCGCUAGUAAUCGUGGAUCAGCAUGCCACGGUGAAUACGUUCCCGGGCCUU
rnacentral:rRNA from 1 species